rnacentral:rRNA from 7 species
GUCUAAGUAUAAGCAACUAUACGGUGAAACUGCGAAUGGCUCAUUAAAUCAGUUAUCGUUUAUUUGAUAGUACCUUACUACAUGGAUAACCGUGGUAAUUCUAGAGCUAAUACAUGCUAAAAACCUCGACUUCGGAAGGGGUGUAUUUAUUAGAUAAAAAACCAAUGCCCUUCGGGGCUCCUUGGUGAAUCAUAAUAACUUAACGAAUCGCAUGGCCUUGCGCCGGCGAUGGUUCAUUCAAAUUUCUGCCCUAUCAACUUUCGAUGGUAGGAUAGUGGCCUACCAUGGUAUCAACGGGUAACGGGGAAUUAGGGUUCGACUCCGGAGAGGGAGCCUGAGAAACGGCUACCACAUCCAAGGAAGGCAGCAGGCGCGCAAAUUACCCAAUCCCGACACGGGGAGGUAGUGACAAUAAAUACUGAUACAGGGCUCUUUUGGGUCUUGUAAUUGGAAUGAGUACAAUUUAAAUCCCUUAACGAGGAACAAUUGGAGGGCAAGUCUGGUGCCAGCAGCCGCGGUAAUUCCAGCUCCAAUAGCGUAUAUUAAAGUUGUUGCAGUUAAAAAGCUCGUAGUUGAACCUUGGGCCUGGCUGGCCGGUCCGCCUCACCGCGUGUACUGGUCCGGCCGGGCCUUUCCUUCUGGGGAACCUCAUGCCCUUCACUGGGCGUGUUGGGGAACCAGGACUUUUACUUUGAAAAAAUUAGAGUGUUCAAAGCAGGCCUUUGCUCGAAUACAUUAGCAUGGAAUAAUAGAAUAGGACGUGUGGUUCUAUUUUGUUGGUUUCUAGGACCGCCGUAAUGAUUAAUAGGGAUAGUCGGGGGCAUCAGUAUUCAAUCGUCAGAGGUGAAAUUCUUGGAUUGAUUGAAGACUAACUACUGCGAAAGCAUUUGCCAAGGAUGUUUUCAUUAAUCAGUGAACGAAAGUUAGGGGAUCGAAGACGAUCAGAUACCGUCGUAGUCUUAACCAUAAACUAUGCCGACUAGGGAUCGGACGGUGUUAGUAUUUUGACCCGUUCGGCACCUUACGAGAAAUCAAAGUUUUUGGGUUCUGGGGGGAGUAUGGUCGCAAG